rnacentral:rRNA from 1 species
UACGUAGGGUGCGAGCGUUGUCCGGAAUUAUUGGGCGUAAAGAGCUCGUAGGCGGCCUGUCGCGUCGGAUGUGAAAGCCCGGGGCUUAACCCCGGGUCUGCAUUCGAUACGGGCAGGCUAGAGUGUGUAGGGGAGAUCGGAAUUCCUGGUGUAGCGGUGAAAUGCGCAGAUAUCAGGAGGAACACCGGUGGCGAAGGCGGGAUCUCUGGGCCAAUACUGACGCUGAGGAGCGAAAGCGUGGGGAGCGAACAGGAUUAGA